rnacentral:rRNA from 1 species
GAUGAACGCUGGCGGCGUGCCUAAUACAUGCAAGUCGAGCGAACGGACGAGAAGCUUGCUUCUCUGAUGUUAGCGGCGGACGGGUGAGUAACACGUGGAUAACCUACCUAUAAGACUGGGAUAACUUCGGGAAACCGGAGCUAAUACCGGAUAAUAUUUUGAACCGCAUGGUUCAAAAGUGAAAGACGGUCUUGCUGUCACUUAUAGAUGGAUCCGCGCUGCAUUAGCUAGUUGGUAAGGUAACGGCUUACCAAGGCAACGAUGCAUAGCCGACCUGAGAGAGUGAUCGGCCACACUGGAACUGAGACACGGUCCAGACUCCUACGGGAGGCAACAGUAGGGAAUCUUCCGCAAUGGGCGAAAGCCUGACGGAGCAACGCCGCGUGAGUGAUGAAGGUCUUCGGAUCGUAAAACUCUGUUAUUAGGGAAGAACAUAUGUGUAAGUAACUGUGCACAUCUUGACGGUACCUAAUCAGAAAGCCACGGCUAACUACGUG